CCAAAAAGAAUGGAUUUGGUGGAGAUUGAAGCUUGGAGGUGGAUCGCCUUCGUCUUCUUCAUCUUCUCCAUGGUUUGGAGCUCAUUUUGAGGUGAGCUUCUUGAGCCCUUUAAUGGUAGAUCUUUAAUGCUUGGUUUAAAUACCUUAUAAAUGGAUUUAGAGGAGUCCUAGCAUGCUAUCUAGAUGAUUAAUGCUUGAAUCAUGGAUCAAUUUAGUGAUUUCUUGCAUAGUUGUAACCUAGGGCUCCAAAAUGCAAGCUUUCAAAAUAUGAGGGUUUGAUCUCAUUUGACCCUUCGUAAACCUAAUUGCUAGGUAACGAAACGCGUUGGCGAAGGCGGUUCGGCAAUCCGACGAGCCGUUACAAAGUUAUUAAAGAAAUAGACGUUUAGGUUUCGGGUCCGCCGGGAGGGCCGAGGCGACGUCGUAAAAUCAUGGAAAUGGAUUUGAGGCAUCGUGGCACAUAACCGAAGACCUAUAAUUUUCGGGGCUGCGAAGCGGAGCACGGUUGAGGCGCAGUUGCAGUAUCGGGCCGUGCCAGAUACGGGUGCCGCGGGAGGCCGAUUGCAAGUGUCGACAAGCAAUCGGAACGCGAAUUAAGGUGGGUUGGUUUACCGAAGCGACUAGGUCGCCUAUAUGUCUAAGUGAUAGACUUUCAUGUUGAUGCAUGUUAAUAAUAACAUAGAUGAUGCAUGUGAUAGAAUGCUAAGUAUAAGCAUGUAAAAUGAUGUUAGUUAAUGACAUGACAUAAAGGAUAUUUGUAUGCCAACAUAAAGUAGAAAGCAUGCUUAAUGUUGUAGUAUAAAGCAUAACGACAUAGAGUGAAUAAUGAAAGGCUAAGAAUGCUAAGUAGAGAGCAUGUGAAGUAAAGUAUAUAAAUGCUAUGUGAUGAUGCAUGUGAACUAAAUGUAAGAGUGCUAGAGUGAAUGCAUCAAAUAAUGAUAAGCUAAGAAUGCUAAGUAUAAGUGAUAAGUAUAAUAUGGAAAUACUAAAUGCAAGUACAUGGUAGGAAUGCUAAGUAAAGGGCAAGUAUAGGUGGACAUGAAUUAACCUAUAGAUCGAGUGGCAUUAAACCUAGUGUCAAGAACAUAGGUUGAACAAGUGUGACAUGAACCUAAUGUUAGAUAACAUAGGUUGUGAGUUAAAGAUAAUAACCUAGAGUUAAAGUAAACCUAGGUAUUGUGGUAAAAGUGGUUAACCUAGAGUUAAGUGAAUCUAGGUUGGAAAGAAUGAUGAUCCUAGUGUAAUGGACCUAGGCUAAGAAUGUGAAAGCAAUAAACCUAAUGUAGUAAUAUAGGUUGAGUAAAGGCUUAGACCUAGAGAGGUCAGUUCCAUAGGGUUAAGACCAACCCUUGGUAAAUGUGAUAUGGAUUCCGGAAUCCCAAAGCUUGCUGAUACACCCAAAGUGGUGUCGGGUGUGUGCGACGAUUUCGCCGCCCAGGGGCUAAUGAACCAUUGUCGUGGCGUGUGUGCGACGAUUUCGCCGCCGGAUGGUUAGCCAGUUUGUGGAUCCUACCGCCUGUUGACUGAACCACUGUCGUGGCGUUUGUGCGACGAUUUCGCCGCCGGGUGGCUAAGUCAUGGACCUAGGCCGUUGUUGGGUGAGGUGCGAUUCGUUCGCCGCCAGACGGCUAGGACAGGAGUACGGUGAGCUGUUGCCAGCUGAGGUGCAUGUGAGAGUUCCUUCACCUCGAGCUAGACAGUGCGCGGACUAUCCGCGAUUGAUUGACUCAAGACCGAGUCGGGUGGCAUAGAGAACUAAGGUAAGAGAAACCUUAGGAAAGAAUGGCCAGUGGAAAAGUGCGACAAAGUGUAAAGAAUAAAGAAUAAGUAAAGAAUAAAGAUCGGCUAAGGAAUAAGAAUAGCUGAUAAGUAAAGAAAGGUUACAAGUAAAGAAUAGCUAAGAGCUAAAAGUAAACAUUAAAUGACAAGAGUAAAGAAUGAUUAAGAAUAUAAGUAGCGUUAAAGUAACCUACUUGCAUGAUUACAGGUAUUGCAUAUUGCAUUUCGUGAGGCAUGACAUGUAUUUCAAUUGAAUAUAUAUAUCUGUUGUAUAUUGUUGAACUAACAUGUUGCAGUGCCUCGUUAGACCUGUUGGUUGAGCUGGUUCUCUUGGGUGGCUAAACCCACUGAGGACUAUGGACAAUAGUCUCACCCCCGUGUUGCUAUUUUGGGGGUACAGGUACACACGUGUGCAGCGCGGCGGCACAAGGCGAGGGCGUAGUUCUGCAGAUAGCGCCCUACCCCAGAGACCAGAGCUAGCAGUACCCCAUCUAUAUAGCUUAGGGGUAAAGGAAAUGAAAAGAAUACAAUGUAUCAAACUUGUAGUAAGUAAAUGUUGUAAUAACUUAGAUUGCAUUUGGAUGAAAAAGAAUGGAAACUGUGAUGUAAAAACUAUGAAAGUGAAUGAAUGUAAUAACUUAGGAUGUGUUUAUGUUGUAUAAUACCUUCCACUUGCAAUCUUGAUUGAUAUCUGUUCUUGGUUGGAACCUUCGUGAAUUGUAUUGAUUGCGAUGUCUUAAAUGUACAGGGGAGACUCUGUCCGUAGUACAGGGGAAACCCUAUCCAUUCGGCGAUGUCGGCGGCGCCGGGACCUCGGCCAAAUAGGCGGGUGGUCGCGGGCUGUGACAUCACGGUAAUGCCGUUUGGGCUUGCUAAUGCCCCGGCAGCAUUUAUAGACUUGAUGAAUCCAGUCUUUCGACCGUUGUGGGACCGGUGUGUUGUAGUAUUCAUUGACGACGUAUUGGUCUAUUCACGGAGUGAGGAGGAACACGAGGAACAUUUGAGGACCGUGUUGGAAAUACUCCGAAAAGAGAAGCUUUAUGCUAAGCUAAAUAUCACGCCCCGGGACCGGUGGGGGCCCUCCCGGAUGCGCGCCCAGACCAGCCAUAUGCUUGCACAUAUAAGGCGUCUACAACAAAAGAGAUGCGAAAGCAAGAAGAAAUAAGUAUCUAGAGAUAUCAGAGCUGUUAACGACUAAAACUAGCAACAAGUAGAGAAGGAAUAAAGUAGUCCACUAAGCAUAAGCAUAAAAAGGUACAAUAAGAAUCACAAAGAAGUGCAUAGUGGGGUGGUCUCUAUACACAAGUAACUCUCCAAAACCUCUCCAAAAUAAAACAUCGAGAGGUAGACCACCUAUCAAUGUGUCCUCGAUAGCAAGCUAGCUGGAGGCGAUACCCUCUCCGCGGUCCCUAGCCUUGCCCGGAGUGGAAGGCUCUAAAAUAAAAUAUAAAACAAAAGGGCGUGAGAACUAUAAUUUAUAGUUCCCAGUGGGCAAUUACUGACCUCAGCUCAAUGCACCACUAGGCUCCAAAAGAAAGGGUAAGUACGAUAAGCAACAAUAGUAGUAAUAGGCAAUAAUAAACUGCAGAAUUGAAAGCAUGAGUGAAAUGCUAUGCCACAAGUAAACGUGAUGUAUAUCAAUGCUAUCAUGUUUGAAUAUGCCAGUGUCGGGUGAAUACGCUCAUCAGCUGCCAAGUAUACUAAGAUGCGAUGAGUAAUUCUAUCAAGUAUACUACAUGUCCCAAUAUCUCCAAGCCACACUAUGAGUAUGUCCAAUAAUCCAACUAUUAUGAUUUAUUUAGCAGUAAUUCAAAUUUAAGAAAUUAUGUCUAAGUUCCAAUCUUGUUUUAGGACCUACACGAGUGUAGUCCGGCUUGCGUCGCCUAAGUGUCGGUGGUAGCUCCAGCAUUUCUACUCUGGAAAUGAGUCUAUCCCUCCCGACCCCGUAGGCUUCUCGGUACCGCACGAGCGAUCAUAAGUCGCGUAGGCCAACUCCGGAGUGCCGGCUUGUAGGGAGCGACCCUCACAAGCAUGUGCGAAUGAGCAUAAAUGGCAACAAGCAUAAUCAUCGUCUCAAGUACCCAAUCAUUAUGUCUCUAACAUGGUACAAGUCACUAGUAACCCUGUCACGCCCCGCCCCGAAACCACUACCUAUUUGGCACGGUUCGGCCGCGGCGGUGGACUGCCGAACGGACAGCACCUCCCCUGUCCGCCCAAGGCUCAACAACACGAAUGUGUACAAGAAUUUACCCAGGAGCUUAAAUUCUAAACAUGCACAUUCACAAGGGCACAAACAGUGCCGACAAACUCGAAGGUCUAGUUCUAUGUCUCGAUAUGAGGUUUAAUUGUUCAAUAAUUUCUAUGUCAAUGACCAUAGCUUUACUAUGUCAAAUCCAAGCCCAUGCAAUGCCCCUUUUUAUGACAUUAGCUUACUAAAUCAUGCAUCAUGUACAUCUAUGUUCUUUGAUGGCAUUACAUUAUGCUAAGUCCAAAUUUUGUUUCAACACUAGUGCCGUUUUAUGACACUAGGUUUCACUUGUCCCAACUACAUUACAAGCCCAAUGCCCCUUUAUGACAUUGGCUCAAUAGUAAGCUAAAAGUGUAAGUUUCAAGCCUCCUCAUGGCAUUAUGUACGGUCCUAUGUCUCACAUAAGAGUCAUGUCCAAAUGCACAUUAUCCUUCUCAUUCUCACUAUAUAAAACAUGCUCUUGAGUCAUAUCUAGAAUGCUAAGCACAUGGAUAAGUCUCACAUGCCACUCUCUACUACAUAGAGGUCCAAAAAUGUAUUAUAUAUAAUGUAGGCAUUUUAAGCAUUCUAAAAUUCACAAUAAAUACAUUUAUCAUGGAAAUACAUAAAUUUCUACUUUACGAAGCAUAUAACGUCGGAUAUGAGAAUUUUUCAUAUGCUAGGCUAGGUCAAACCCACCGAACUCUGCGCAACCCUUCGUUCGCUCCAAAGAAGAUGUCCACUAAUCUCCUAGCACCCUAGGAGCAUCAAAAAGUGAGCUACAAGAAGUAAACGAAUAACUACUAGCUCAAACAUUAACCUACCAAGCAAAAGGGCCAAAAUCUCACCUAUAGUGUAGAAAUCCCUUCCCAAAGCUCAAAUGGAAGCUAGAUCCCUUCUAAAGCAACCUAAACCAAGGUUCUAAUCCAAUUAGAUUAGCUCAAAAAGCCCUAAAUCAAAAAGCCCCAAAUAAAUCCUAGAUUUCUCACACUAGGGUUUCAUCUCCCAAAAAUCCACCAAAACUACGUUUAGAGGGGAGGAACAAGCAACAAACCUCAUAAGAAGCUCCAAUCCAAGCUCUAAUAGUGAAGAUCUCCUCUUUAGCAAGCUCCAAGUCCAAGCUUUCAAGCACCCAAGGGAAGAAGAGAGGGAGAGAAAGAUGCUCCAAGUCCUCUUGGUGGUCUUCUUCUUCUCCUCCCUUCCUUCUUCUCCUUCUCCUUCUUCUUCUCCUUCUCUAUCAAGGUGUUGGGAGAGUGAGAGAAAGAGAAAUGAGGAAGAGAGAGGGUGGAAUGGCCAUUUUGGCCAUCUAAUGUAACAAAAUCCAGAGAAGCCCCUUAAUUUCCCAAUAUUACAUCAGUCCGGACUGGGCAGUUUUCGGACUGAGGGACCGGUCUCCCCGACCUGGGACCGGUCUCUUGGCCUGCCCCAAAAAUCCAACGUUCGGGAACCGGUCUCUCCCCGCAUGGGACCGGUCUCUCCCUGCGUGGACGCGCUCGGGGACCGGUCUCAUCCGCCAGGGACCGGUUGCCUCAAGACUGCCGCAAUACUAUUCCGGGGGGGGGGCGGUCUCUCCCAGCCAGGGACCGGUCCCCGAGAGUAAAAACUCUCAGGACUCGUCCAGAACUCAGAUUUUCGAACUUUUUAGGUCGGAAAAUAUUCUACGACCCUCCACCAAGUGUGAAAAAGCUCGGAACACAUCCAAUCACUCGAACCUCGCAAUUUGCACAGGUCCAGUGUGCUACACUAAAGAAGUGCGAAUUUUGGCUUUCGGAGGUCACCUUCUUAGGCCAUGUUAUAUCGGGUGAUGGUAUCUCGGUAGAUCCAAAGAAAGUUGAGGCAAUUAAAGAUUGGCCUCGCCCGACAAGUGUAGCAGAAAUCCAUAGCUUUCUUGGACUUGCGGGCUACUACCGGCGGUUUGUGGAGGGGUUUGCUAAAAUAACUACUCUGCUAACCCACCUUACACACAAAGGGGUGAAGUACGUUUGGAGCACGAUUGUAAUCGGAGCUUCGAGGAAUUAAAGGAAAGGUUGACAUCGACCCCGGUGCUUGCUCUACCAACUCCGGGGGAGACCUUUGUAGUGUAUAGUGAUGCUUCAUAUAUCGGUCUCGGGUGUAUUUUGAUGCAAAAUGGGCGAGUCAUUGCGUAUGCUUUGCGCCAAUUGAAGAGCUAUGAAAAGAACUACCCGAUACACGACCUUGAGCUAGCCACGGUGAUAUUCGCGCUAAAGUUGUGGAGGCAUUACUUGUACGGUGAGCAUUAUGACAUUUACAUGGAUCACAAGAGUCUCAAAUACUUGUUCACCCAAAAGAAAUUGAAUAUGCGACAAUGGCGGUGGUUAGAGUUGCUAAAGGACUAUGAUGUCACUAUUUUAUACCAUCCCGGGAAGGUAAAUGUUGUGGUCGAUGCUCUAAGUAGGAAAUCGGUAGAAAAUUUGGCUUCGGCAAUUACACCACAACCGUUGUUGCAAAAAGAGAUGCAAAGGUUUGGUCUUGAAGUAGUAGCGCCGGGAGUGCCGGCAACACUUGCCGCAUUGGUUGUGCAACUGACCUUGUUGAAGAAGAUUAAAGAUCUACAAGUUUUCAAUCCUUAUCUCCAAAAGGUGCGGGGUGAAGUUGAGAGCUGUAGUGCCGAUGAUUUUGGCACUGGGAUCGACGGCGCACUUCGAUUCAGAAAUCGUUGGUGUGUGCCUAAAGACGAGGACAUUCGAAAGGCAAUCAUGCAAGAAGCGCAUCAAUCUCCCUAUAGUAUACAACCGGGCGGCACCAAGAUAUAUCAAGAGUUGAAAGUGCACUAUUGGUGGCCGGGCAUGAAGAAAGACAUUGGGGAGUUCGUGACGCAAUGCCUUACGUGCCAACAAGUGAAAGCGGAGCGCCGGUUUCCGGCGAAAAAAUUGCAAAGUUUAUCUAUACCCGUUUGGAAAUGGGAAAGUAUCGUAAUGGAUUUUGUUACCGGUCUGCCUAGAUCUCAAGCCGGGCAUGAUGCGAUUUGGGUGGUUGUGGACCGGUUGACGAAAUCCCUAUGUAGUAUAAAAAUGCUUGUAGUAUAAAGAUGCAUAUGAGACUGUUGAACAAAGUGAAAACCCUAUGUAUGCAUGAAUAAUGACAAAGACCUAGAUGGGGCAAAGAACAAAAUGACAUUAUGACAUAUGGAUUGUGUGGCAUUAGUAAAGACUAUAAAUGCUAGAGUUGAACUCUUAGAGAGUGGCAUUAAUAAGUAUAUUGAAUGCUAGAGAUGAACUCCUAGAGAGUGGCAUUAAAGAGUCAAGAAUACUUAGUGUGUGGCAUCAAGAAAGUUAAAGAAUGCAAGUAAAGUGAGAUAGUUGAUAUUAUGACAUAACAACCUUAAAGUUAAGGGUCAUAUGAGCAUAGCAUCCUUAUAGUGAAGGAUUGGAUUGAACUUGUAAGGAAGUGAAUUCUCGAAAUACGAGGAUUGUACUUCAUCCAGGAUCGACUAAUUGUCGAAAGUAUACCCUUUGUGGGAGUUGAGAAUGUCCAAAGCACAAAAAGUGUCUUGGAGUUGAGUCCGCGAGAGCAAAUGAGGCAAACAGCAUCAUUGGGCUGAUGUUGCUCUCGGGGACCGGUCUCUGCAGGUGAGAGACCGGUUCCCCUGACUGGGCGUAGCGGGGUUGCAUGAUGCAACCGGUCCUUGGUAGGGAGGGACCGGUUCCCGAACGUGGACCCAGCGAGAGAUGCCAAAAAUUGGCUAAGUCCUGAAGAUUGAGCUCUCGAGGACCGGUCUCCCAGGUGAGGACCGGUCUCCCGAGGACCGGUCUCCCAGGGAGAGACCGGUUCCCGAACGCGUGCACCCGAGGGAAGCUCUCGGGGACCGGUCCCAAGUCGGGGAGACCGGUCCCUCCGCGCGAAAACUGCCCAGUGAGGGCAGUGCACAGGAGUGAAAGUUGAGGGGCUUUUAUGCAAAAUGGCUUUUAUUUGAGUGGGCUGAGCCCUCUCUCUCCCUCACACUCUCUCUUUUCACUCUCUCUCACUCUCUUGCUCUCUUGCUCUCUCUCUCUCUAGAGAUAACAAAGUCCCCUGCAGUGGGCGCGGAGCAUUGCUGCGUCCCCUGUAGUUGGUCCGGGCGAGUGCGGCAGAGGAGGGGCGGCCAGCGGCAGAUCGUAGUUGCGGCUUAUGCAGUCACUACGGUGCUGGCCGUAUGGGACCUCAAAUCCCGAUAGUGCGGUGUAGAGCGGAGCGGGAGGCGAUGCGAUUGUGUCUCUUGUUAGUUUAAAGAUUAGCUACCUACGUUUUGACGGGGAAAAGGCUGAGGUCGACGAUGGUGGAGGUCGUGGAUCGACCGCCAUGGAGACCUCUUCGGGAUAUUUACACUCUUGAAAGGGGCAAGGUCACCAUCGCCACCCAUUGCUUAGACAAGGCGCGCGAAGGUGUGGUGGAAGGGGUGAAGCAAGAUCGCACUUCUAUCUUUGUCCUAAUGCUAUGGAGAGUUUAAGCAGGCGUGUUCGUAAAUUAGCUUCUCGACACUGUUGAAGCGAAAGCUACACAGAAAAGUUUCGCAAGUUGAGCAGGGAUUCACUCGGGUGGGGAUUUCGAGCAGUGAGUCUCGCCACCAUUAUUGAUUGCGUUCCCGAGUUUGUUUGAAUGACGGGAUCGGCGAUUGUGUUUCUUACGAGGGACCUUAGGCAGGAGACUAUGAGGCUCGUGGCAAAUCCUCAAGCUUGCAACCUUUGCGAGGUCUUUGAUCCAGCCUUUGUGGGCGCGAGCAUCGGCAACGCCUACGCAGCGAGAGGGACGCGAGUUAUGGCCGUAGUCAUGAGAGACAAGGAAAGAAGCGGCGAGCGGGUGGUGCGCGGGGCGCCGAAUGCAAAGAAACCCCUCGGUAUCCCGACAGCCAAUCAAAGAAUUUGGAGCCUUCUCUAGAUGCGGUUAUUUUGCGAGUGGCAUCGACCGUUCGGGCUUGCCCAACGUGAGGGAAGUGUACCAGUGUGGCGCAGGGGCAAUGCGCCGGAGUGCACGAGUGGCGCUGUCGUGCACGACGGCGCAUCAGUUCCUUCACCCGAGACAGUUGCGGGUUGCCACCAGCUGUGUCGGCGACGCUCAUCAGCGCGCUGUAAGCGGAGGGAUCAUGAGCACGAUGGGCGUUUUGCCACUUUCGGUAGGAGGAGCUGCAGUUCUCGCGAUCGUCGUGGCAGGUAUUUAUUUCGUAUUAAGGACUAGAGUGAGCAUUGUGUUUCGAUAUUGGAUUGAUCAUUCAUUCAUUGGUGGUAUUUCGCCUAAAAACUCAUGGCAUGACAUAUUGCAUAACCCGGAUUAUUGGUGGUUAAUGCACCAGAGAUUCAUUUAGGUUCAGAGGAGUGCUUUGGCUUUUUCAGUUCAAUAGCCGGUUGAUUGUGAUUAUCCGGCAGAUUUGCUAAGGCUUAAGCAAAUGUGGGACUUCGACGUAAUUUGGGUCGAUUGGGCUAUCCAAGUACUAUGCGCGUUAUUGAUGUGUGAAAGCAAUGGUGAUCAAUUCGUGAGCCUAACAAAAGAGUUAGUAACUCGGCAUUGUAAGCUCGCGCUUCGCGGCGCCGUGAUCUGGAAGCGAGGUGAGGAAAAUGACAAAGUUGGAUGUGUGGCCUACUUGGUCAAACAUGGUAAAUACUUGUAAAGGCAGCACUCCGAAUUGCGGGGAACAUCGCGGUAUGUGUUGCGAGCUUUCCGGAUGUGUUUCUGGCGGAGUUUACCGGAUUGCACCAGAACCGGAAACAGCACGUCGCCAUAAUUGAUUAUCGGGCAGGCGUAAUUUCGAAGGCUCCGUAUAGAACUGGCAUCGUGGAACUAGUGGAGUUAAAAGCCCAAUUAUAGGCUUGCUCGAUAAAGGCUUUGUGAGGCGAGCGUGUUCACCGUAGGGAGCUCCGGUGCUUAUUUGUUAAAAAAAAGGAUGCACACUUCGACUCUGCAUGGAUUAUGGCGAGUUGAGACAAGUGACAAUCAAGACAAUACCCGCUGCGAGGUUGAUGAUUUAUUCGCAUCAGUUAUAAGGGUCGGAUGUAUUCGAGAUAAGUCUUCUGUCGGGGUUCAUCAGUUGAAGAUUCGGCCGAAAGAUGUGCACAAACGGGUACCGUACGCGGUAUGGUAUUAUGAGUUACGUGUAACAUAACGGAUUUUAAAUUAUAAAGAGAAAAAUAAAUAAAAUAGUAUGAGAUACUAUUUAUUGAUUUAGAAGUUGAAAUAUACGGUGUGGGAACGACCUGUGCUGAAAUCGAGCGAAACAGAAGAUUUAGAAUUUUCUGUUGGAAACGGGACUGAUAAAUUAGCAGAAAUGCACAGUCUCAGAAAAAUUAUGAAAAUUGCGCGAGAUGUCAGAAAUAUUUUUAUGAGGCUGAUUUAAAGUUCAUAUUUUUCUGACACCCGUAGAGUGAGAAAAAAAUCGAAAAGCUAUCUGAUAAAGAUUGCAGUUCGGCACAGUUUUCGGUGACCAAACGGAGUCGAAACUGAAAACUUAAGACAUAUUCUUUGCCAGUACGUUAAACUGGCCUGUCUGUCAAAUUGAGCAAAACGGACAUCCGGAAGGGCUCCAACGAAAUUUAUCAGAUUUCAGCGCUGCCCGUAGUGAAUAGUGUGUAGGUGAGAGGGCAAAAUGGUUAAAAUGGAUUAAACCCCUUUUGCUUCUUCUUUCCUCCAGCCGUAGCAGCCCAAACGCGACACACACACACGCCAUGGAAGCGAAGAGAGAAGCUCUCUUUCUCUCUCUAAAUAAUCUCCAAAGAAUGGAUUUUGUGGAGAUUGAAGUUGGAGGUGGAUCGCCUUCGUCUUCUUCUCUUCUCCAUUGGUUUUGGAGCUCAUUUUGAGGCGAGCUUCUUGAGCCCUUUAAUGGUAGAUCUUUAAUGCUUGGUUUAAAUACCUUAUAAAUGGAUUUAGAGGAGUCCUAGCAUGCUCUAUUCUAGAUGAUUAAUGCUUGAACAUGGGAUCAAUUUAGUGAUUUCUGCAUAGUUGUAACCUAGGGCUCCAAAAUGCAAGCUUUCAAAAUAUGAGGGUUUGAUCUCAUUUGACCCCUUCGUAAACUAAAUUGCUAGGUAACGAAACGCGUUGGCAAAGGCGGUUCGGCAAUCCGACGAGCCGUUACAAAGUUAUUAAAGAAAUAGACGUUUAGGUUUCGGGUCCGCCGGAGGGCCGAGGCGACGUGGAAAAUCAUGGAAAUGGAUUAUGACGGAUCGUGGCACAUAACCGAGACUAUAAUUUUCGGUGGGGCGAAAAGCGGACACGGUUUGAGGCGCAGUUGCAGUAUUGGGCCGUGCCGGAUACCGGGUGCCGCGGGGAGGCGAUUGCAAGUGUCGACAAGCAAUCGGAACGCGACAUUAAGGUGGUUGUGUUUACCAGAGCGACUAGGUUCGCCUUUAUGUCUAAAGAAACUAAGAAUCCAUGUUGAUGUCAUAAUGUAAAUGAAGCAUGUAAAUGAUGAUGUAGCUAAAUAAUGCAUGUUGAUAGUAUGAUGUAAAUGCUAAAUAGAAUGCAUUAUGAGCAAGUUACAUAAUGCUAAAUAAUGUAAUGUAGAAAUGCUGAAUGCAUUAUGGGCAAGUUAAUUAAUGCUAAUAUGUAAUGUAGAAAUGCUAAAUGCAUAAUGAGCCAAGUAUAUGUAUGACAUGUUUAUAGUAUGAUGUAAAUGCUAAGUAGAUGCAUAUAAAAUGAUAUAUGAGAUUAUAACGACAUGAUUAGCAUUAUUAGAUCAUAGAUGCAUGCUUAGCAUUGUGAGAUUAUAUAAGCUAUGCUAUGAAUUGUUGAUAACUCUAGCUUGAAUAGAGAGAUAACAUUGGAAAAUGAGAAUUGAUAACUCUAGAAUGAGUAUAGAAUGCUUAAUUGGACAAUUAGUAUGUGAAUUAGAUCGAGUGGCCAUCUAACUUGUUUAAGGAACAUAGUCGUGAGUAGACCUAGAAUCAAAUAGAUCGCGUGCAAUUAACCUAGUGUUAAUAACAUAGUCGUGAAAUGAAAAGUACUUAACCUAGAGUAAGUGAACCUAGAGUUGGAAGAAUAAUGAUCCUAGUGCUAAUAACCUAGGUUAAAGAAAGCUGCAACAUAAAACUAAUGGGGUGAACUUAGGUUGAGUAAAGGCUUAGACCUAGAGAGGUCAGUUCCAUAGGGUUAAGACCACCCCUAUGUGAUGUAAAUGGAUUCCGGAAUCCCAAGGCGUAAAAGGUACACCCAAAGUGGGUGUUCGUGUGUCGCCGACGAUUUUGCCGCCCAAGUGCUAAAGAGCUUUUGUCGGGUCGUGCGGACGAUUUCGCCGCGGAUGGUUAGCCAGUUUGUGGAUCUACCGCCUGUUGAUUGAACCACUGUCGUGGCGUUUGUGCGACGAUUUCGCCGCCGGUGGCUAAGUCAUGGACCUAGGCGUUGUUGGGUGAGGUGCGAUUCGUUGUCGCGACAGACGGCUAGGCAGGGGAGUACGGUGAGCUGUUGCCAGCUGAGGUGCAUGUGAGAGUUCCUUCACCUCGACUAGACAGUGCUGCGGGACUAUCCGCGAUUGAUUACCAGACCGACGCGGUGGCAGAGAGACUAAGGUAAGAGAAACCUUAGGAAAGAAUGGCCAGUAGAAAAGUGCGAACAGUUGUAAAGAUAAAGAAUAAGUAAAGAAUAAGAUCAGCUAAGGAAUAAGAAUAGCUGCUAUAAGUAAAGAAAGGUUACAAGUAAAGAAUAGCUAAGAGAAAAGUAAACAUUAAAUGACAAGAGUAAGAAUAAUUAAGAAUAUUAAGUAGCGUUAAAGUAACCUACUUGCAUGAUUAAGGUAUUGCAUAUUGUAUUUCGUGAGGCAUGACAUGUAUUUCAAUU
rnacentral:lncRNA from 1 species